rnacentral:rRNA from 1 species
CCUACGGGAGGCUGCAGUGAGGAAUAUUGGUCAAUGGGCGAGAGCCUGAACCAGCCAAGUAGCGUGAAGGAUGACUGCCCUACGGGUUGUAAACUUCUUUUAUAAAGGAAUAAAGUGAGGCACGUGUGCCUUUUUGUAUGUACUUUAUGAAUAAGGAUCGGCUAACUCCGUGCCAGCAGCCGCGGUAAUACGGAGGAUCCGAGCGUUAUCCGGAUUUGUUGGGUUUAAAGGGAGCGUAGAUGGGUUGUUAAGUCAGUUGUGAAAGGUUGCGGCUCAACCGUAAAAUUGCAAUUGAUACUGGCAGUCUUGAGUACAGUUGAGGUAGGCGGAAUUCGUGGGGUAGCGGUGAAAUGCUUAGAUAUCACGAAGAACUCCGAUUGCGAAGGCAGCUUACGAAACUGCCACUGACAUUGAGGGUCGAAAGUGUGGGUAUCAAACAGGAUUAGAUACCCGUGUAGUC